rnacentral:lncRNA from 1 species
AGUUCAAAUCUGCGGUUUUAUUAAAUCUGAGAGUUACAGGAUUGUUUAUAUGCUAUGGAUUUAAGAUACAAAACAGAUAAGAAAAGACUGUUGUGCCUGUCAAAUAAUAGGAUUUUCCGCUUAAGACGACAGUGACCUGGUUGUGCGAAAAAAGAUAACAUGUAUUGUAUGAAUGUAUUUUGCUAUUGUGUAAAAUGUAGUGAAAGUUUACAGACUUAAAUUUUUUUAAGUUUUUAAAAGAUUAGUUUACAUACAGAGUAAGUUUGGGCACUCAUUAACUUCAUUUAAAGAAGUUCUUAAAUAUUCUGAAGCACCACUUAACUUUUAUGACUUUUUCCAAGGGUUUGAAGUUUAAAGCGACAAAAGCAGUAUUAUUGUAAAGAAUUGGAAGUCACAAUAGCCCGUUUUUAGCUGUAAUGUAUCUAGCUAUUAAUUAACCUCUUAUUUGUAAAUCAAUGAUCUGUCUUAUAAUUUUGCAUUAUAAUAACUACCAAGCAUUAUUUGCGGUAAAUGGGUUAGUUCGGUUUUGAAAAUCUAUACGUAUAUCUUUAUAGAUCUCUAAAACUGAUUGGCUGAUAAUGGUUUUCAUGCAAGGGCAUGUUGUAUGUUUACAAUUGGAAUAAAUAGAGUGGGUUGUAUGUCUCAUGGUGUGUGACACAUGCUACCAUAAAGAAAAAUUCUUUAAUUUGGAGAUUUGACGGGCCGUAAAUCGUGAAAUCUUGUUAAAAUUUCAGCCAUAGGUGCACCCAAUUUUCAGUCUGUUUGAUCAGAUAUGGGAUAGGAUAUUAACUGCAUAACUAGACAGGUUUUAUAGACUGGAUAAUUGUGACUGGAGGAAAUAAAAUCUUUUGUGUAGUAAAUUUGAAAUCAAUUUAGCAAUAUUUAUGGUGAUUGAUGUUAUUGUAUUUGGAUGUGAAAUUGUAAACUCUCAAAGUUUAUGUUCCAAGUAAUGUGAAAUUCAUGUCUUGGAUGUUAUUUCAGAUGUUCUAUGAAGAAAGGAGCACACAGACUGGGCAAAUGAAGUUUUAACAAGACACAACCUACCACUGAUCUCUGACCUGAGGAAGAGUAUAGGUGACGGUUUCACACUGCCAACUAUAUUAGAGAUUAUAGCUGGUGUAUCAUUAUCAUGUGU